CCUACGGGAGGCAGCAGUGGGGAAUAUUGGACAAUGGGGGGAACCCUGAUCCAGCCAUGCCGCGUGUGUGAAGAAGGCCCUCGGGUUGUAAAGCACUUUCAGUGAGGAAGAACGCCUGGUGGUUAAUACCCAUCAGGAAAGACAUCACUCACAGAAGAAGCACCGGCUAACUCCGUGCCAGCAGCCGCGGUAAUACGGAGGGUGCGAGCGUUAAUCGGAAUUACUGGGCGUAAAGCGCGCGUAGGUGGCUUGAUAAGCCGGUUGUGAAAGCCCCGGGCUCAACCUGGGAACGGCAUCCGGAACUGUCAAGCUUGAGUGCAGGAGAGGAAGGUAGAAUUCCCGGUGUAGCGGUGAAAUGCGUAGAGAUCGGGAGGAAUACCAGUGGCGAAGGCGGCCUUCUGGACUGACACUGACACUGAGGUGCGAAAGCGUGGGUAGCAAACAGGAUUAGAUACCCGAGUAGUC
rnacentral:rRNA from 1 species